rnacentral:rRNA from 1 species
AUACGGAGGGUGCGAGCGUUGUUCGGAAUUACUGGGCGUAAAGCGGGUGUAGGCGGUGGAUCAAGUCAGAUGUGAAAGCCCUCGGCUCAACCGAGGAAGUGCAUCUGAAACUGGUUCACUAGAGUACGGGAGAGGAGAGUGGAAUUCCCAGUGUAGAGGUGAAAUUCGUAGAUAUUCGGAGGAACACCGGUGGCGAAGGCGGCUCUCUGGAACGAUACUGACGCUGAGACCCGAAAGCGUGGGGAGCAAACAGGAUUAGAAACCCUAGUAGUCC